UGAAAUUAAACCAUUAAAAUAGAUAUUCUAAAUCCAAGAAAAGCCCUUUAACAGAACUUCACUAUUAUGAAAGCACAUGAAAAGUUGAUUUCUAUUGCCUGGUAUACAAUAAUUAUUCUCUUAUCCUGUGCUUUGAAAUACAGCACACCACUUAACCAGAUUAUCAGCAAUAUACAGCCCAAAGUGCAGAGACAUUUAUGUAAUUUCUUGGAGUAUCUUACGUGUGUUGGAAGGUAGAGGUCAUACACAGAUCCAGAGUCCACAUCAAUAGCGUGAAAGCCUACUAAAGAGCCAUAGAUCACUUUUAAUCUUUGUCCAUUUUCAACAGUGAGGUCAACUGACAGCGGUUUGUGAUGAAGUGAGGUAAAGGACUUAAAAGCCAUGAAUUUGUGAUAAGGCUUUGGAGCCCAAGCAUAAACCUCCACUGAGCUUUUCAAAGCAAUUACAAGGAAUUUGAUUCUCUCAUAUUUUACAACUUUGUAGUGUACGCAGCCUUCCAGGUCACCCACAGACACCCAGCCUUGUCGCUUCUCAACCUCUGGAUCAUUGCGCAAAAUCUUAUUUCUCAGCCAUGACAGGUAAUAGACUCUCAACUUAUUCUUUUUCCCUGAUAUAGUAAUUAGCACAUUGAGUCCUUCCAGAACAUCCAUUUGCUGGAAUCGUCUCCUUGUAAUCAGUGAAUAAACUCUUCCUUGCCCACUUCUGUCCAGAAGCCACAAUCCGUUCUCUGUUCCCACCAGUAAAUUCACUCCUGUUGAUACAGAAAAAAAAAUACUGCCUAGAUCAGCUAAUGAUUCAGAAGCCAAGUGUUAAUUGUUUUUUAGAAUUGAUUUUUACUUCGUCCUCUUAAUGGUAGCUAAUAUUUUUCCCUUGCUCUGUGAAUGACCUCCUAAGAAAAAUGAAAGGAAAUAAAAC
rnacentral:lncRNA from 1 species